rnacentral:lncRNA from 1 species
GAAUUUGUCCCAUAUAAUUUCCUAUGAAGGUUUUAAUAAGGCCGUUGAGCGGCCUUUGUAAGUCUCUUUAGAGUAUGAAUGAAAUCCUUAAAACUAUCAAUGACAUUACGCGUCCAUUAAAACUAUCAAUGACUUCAGCCUUUCUAGUAUCAAGAGUAGCACACAAUAUGCGCUUGUAGUCAUUUUAAUAUUAUUAAUGAGUAAUCGAAAAGACAAAUCAGCAAUUAGUCUAAUGUUAC